AUCCGCUCCCUCUCGCGCGCCGCUCGGCUCCUUCACAGGGUGACACGUCUGCGGUGAGUGAGUGGCGUUGGCAGCCUGUCAAUCCCUCACCGGAGCGGCCAUCAAACAACAUAAAACACGCGCGGGCACCGGGCGCGGGGCUCAUAAAUUCCGGCGGGCCGAUAUUUUUGCACAUUGCUUUGCAGAGAGUGUAUUUUUGGACAAGUGGGGAAAGACAUAAAAAGCGACAAUAAAAAUAAAAAGGG